rnacentral:rRNA from 1 species
CCUACGGGAGGCAGCAGUGAGGAAUAUUGGUCAAUGGCCGGAAGGCUGAACCAGCCAUGCCGCGUGAAGGUCAGUGCCCUAUGGGCGUUAAACUUCUUUUGUGCGGGAGCAAUAAUGGUCACGUGUGGCCAGACGAGAGUACCAUACGAAUAAGCAUCGGCUAACUCCGUGCCAGCAGCCGCGGUAAUACGGGGGAUGCAAGCGUUAUCCGGAUUUAUUGGGUUUAAAGGGUGCGUAGGCUGGGAGGUAAGUCAGCGGUGAAAUGCCCCCGCUCAACGGGGUGAAGUGCCAUUGAUACUGUCUGGCUGGAAUGCGGAUGCCGUGGGAGGAAUGUGUGGUGUAGCGGUGAAAUGCAUAGAUAUCACACAGAACACCGAUUGCGAAGGCAUCUCACGAAUCCGCGAUUGACGCUGAUGCACGAAAGCGUGGGUAUCAAACAGGAUUAGAUACCCGUGUAGUC